rnacentral:lncRNA from 1 species
UAGAACUUGUGACAACCUGUACAUUGUAUUUAUUCAAUCACUUUACCCGUUCUUAUCAUUUUUGUAAUCAUUACUGUACUGUACUGUGACCAUUAGGCUGCCUCCAGUACAUAUCAACUGGGAUCGACCCAUGAUAGGCUUAUGCCCCUGGGAUACCACCCAUAAACACAUAAAUAGGGAUCGACCCAUGAUAGGCUUAUGCCCCUN